CCAGUACGCGUUAGUUAGCCCUAUACCGCGAAACUGCGAAUGGCUCAUUAAAUCAGUUAUCGUAUUUUGAUAAUACCUACUACCUGGAUUCCCUGGGAAUUUUAAAACUAAUACCUGCUUAAAUCCCCACUUUCGAAGGGAUGUAUUUAUUAAAUUAAAAACCAAUGGCCUUCCGGGCUCACUGGUGAUUCAUAAUAACUUCUCCAAUCCCAUGACCUUGCUCCGGCGAUGGUUCAUUCAAAUUUCUGCCCUAUCAACUUUCUACGGCUGGGUCUUGGCCUUACGUGGUUACAACGGGUAACGGAGGGUUAAGGCUUGACCCCGGAAAAGGAGCCUGAAAAACGGCUACUACAUCCAAGGAAGGCAGCAGGCGCGCAAAUUACCCAAUCCCGAUUCCGGGAGGUAGUGACAAUAAAUACUGAUACAGGGCUCUUUUGGGUCUUGUAAUUGGAAUGAAACAAUUUAAAUCCCUUAACGAGGAACAAUUGGAGGGCAAGUCUGGUGCCAGCAGCCGCGGUAAUUCCAGCUCCAAUAACGUAUAUUAAAGUUGUUGCAGUUAAAAGCUCGUAGUUGAAACUUGGGGCUGGCUGGGGGUCUGCCUCACCGCAUGGACUGGUCCGGGCGGGGGCUUUCCCUCUGGGGAACACCAUGCCCUUCACUGGGGGGGGGGCGGGGGAACC
rnacentral:rRNA from 1 species